rnacentral:rRNA from 1 species
AUGACAGGAUCCAACUCGAGUGUACAUGGACAUCAACAUGUGGAAGAUGAUCUCCCAAAAACUCGUGCAACACUUGGUGAUAUGAUUGAGGAGAGUAUAGUUGCAGCUAUGCGAAGGAUGUUCGGUGGUCGUCUUCCUAUCACGGGUAAUGGGGAUCAACAUCAACACAACCCCGCUACCUCGCCGGCUGCCGACAACCGGCAAUGUCAAUGA